rnacentral:rRNA from 1 species
UGUGAGUUGACGGAUCACGUAAAUAGUACUUUCUUAUUGGAUUGAGAAUGCUGUGAAGUGGUUCCUGGAAAUAGCCACAGAAUAUAGAUCGUACCAAAACCGACACAGGUAGGAAGGUAGAGUAUACCAAGGCGCUUGAGAGAAUGAUGUUGAAGGAACUCGGCAAAAUGCCCUUGUAACUUCGGAAUAAGAGGGACCAAUUUUUAGGCAACUAAAGAUUGGUGGCACAGAAUAGGGAGAAGCGACUGUUUAUCAAAAACACAGGUCUCUGCUAAGUCGUAAGACGAUGUAUAGGGACUGACGCCUGCCCGGUGCCGGAAGGUUAAAUGGUGGAGUGCAAGCUCUAAAAUGAAGCCCCGGUGAACGGCGGCCGUAACUAUAACGGUCCUAAGGUAGCGAAAUUCCUUGUCAGGUAAGUUCUGACCCGCAUGAAUGGCGUAACGAUUUCCCCGCUGUCUCCAACAUCAACUCAGCGAAAUUGAAUUCUCCGUGAAGAUGCGGAGUACGUGUAGUUAGACGGAAAGACCCCGUGCACCUUUACUAUAGCUUUACAGUGGUAUUAGGAAAAUAAUGUGUAGGCUAGGUGGUAGACUUUGAAGCAGAAGCGCUAGCUUUUGUGGAGUCAAAAGAUGAAACACCACCCUUUAUUUUUUUGAUAUCUAACCAUCAUCCAUUAUCUGGAUGUGGGACCCUGUAUGGUGGGUAGUUUGACUGGGGCGGUCGCCUCCUAAAGAGUAACGGAGGCGCGCGAUGGUAGGCUCAGGCUGGUCGGAAAUCAGCUUUAGAGUGCAAUGGCAUAAGCCUGCCUGACUGCGAGACGUACAUGUCGAGCAGAGU